AUUGAACGCUGGCGGCAGGCCUAACACAUGCAAGUCGAGCGGAUGAAGGGAGCUUGCUCCUGGAUUCAGCGGCGGACGGGUGAGUAAUGCCUAGGAAUCUGCCUGGUAGUGGGGGAUAACGUCCGGAAACGGGCGCUAAUACCGCAUACGUCCUGAGGGAGAAAGUGGGGGAUCUUCGGACCUCACGCUAUCAGAUGAGCCUAGGUCGGAUUAGCUAGCUGGUGGGGUAAAGGCCUACCAAGGCGACGAUCCGUAACUGGUCUGAGAGGAUGAUCAGUCACACGGAAACAGAGACCGGGCCAGACCCCCAGGGGAGGGAGGCGGGGGGAAUAUUUGAAAAAGGGGGAAAGGCGUGAACCACCAUGGCGGGGGGGGGAAAGAAGGUUUGGGAUUUGAAAGCAAUUUUAAGUGGGGAGAAGGGAAAAAAAGUAAACACUUUGGUGUUUGAAGUUAACAAAAAAAAAAGACCCGGACAAACUUGGUC
rnacentral:rRNA from 1 species